UUAUUUUUUAAUGUUUAUAUUAUUUGAAUAAAACAUUCAAAUAAUAUAAAAAAUAAUAUAUAUAUUGACAUGGAUUAAACAAAGAUAUAUAUUAUUUUAUGUUGUAUAAACAAAUUGGCAAAAUAGAGAUGGAAGAUAAAAAUAUGGUCAAAGUAAUAAGAGUCUAUGGUGGAUGCCUAGGAGCUUUAAGGCGAAGAAGGUCGUGGUAAGCUGCGAAAAGCUUGGGGG
rnacentral:misc_RNA from 1 species